CCUACGGGAUGCACCAGUGGGGAAUAUUGGACAAUGGGCGAAAGCCUGAUCCAGCAAUGCCGCGUGUGUGAAGAAGGUCUUCGGAUUGUAAAGCACUUUCGACGGGGACGAUGAUGACGGUACCCGUAGAAGAAGCCCCGGCUAACUUCGUGCCAGCAGCCGCGGUAAUACGAAGGGGGCUAGCGUUGCCCGGAAUGACUGGGCGUAAAGGGCGCGUAGGCGGUUUAUGCAGUCAGAUGUGGAAUCCCCGGGCUUAACCUGGGAACUGCAUUUGAGACGCAUAGACUAGAGGUCGAGAGAGGGUUGUGGAAUUCCCAGUGUAGAGGUGAAAUUCGUAGAUAUUGGGAAUAACACCGGUGGCGAAGGCGGCAACCUGGCUCGAUACUGACGCUGAGGCGCGAAAGCGUGGGGUGCAAACAGGAUUAGACACCCUCGUAGUC
rnacentral:rRNA from 1 species